CCUACGGGGGCUGCAGUGGGGAAUAUUGGACAAUGGGCGAAAGCCUGAUCCAGCCAUGCCGCGUGUGUGAAGAAGGCCUUCGGGUUGUAAAGCACUUUCAGUGGGGAAGAAAGCCUUGGGGCUAAUACCCUCGAGGAAGGACAUCACCCACAGAAGAAGCACCGGCUAACUCCGUGCCAGCAGCCGCGGUAAUACGGAGGGUGCGAGCGUUAAUCGGAAUUACUGGGCGUAAAGCGCGCGUAGGCGGUCUGAUAAGCCGGUUGUGAAAGCCCCGGGCUCAACCUGGGAACGGCAUCCGGAACUGUCAGGCUAGAGUGCAGGAGAGGAAGGUAGAAUUCCCGGUGUAGCGGUGAAAUGCGUAGAGAUCGGGAGGAAUACCAGUGGCGAAGGCGGCCUUCUGGACUGACACUGACGCUGAGGUGCGAAAGCGUGGGUAGCAAACAGGAUUAGAUACCCCAGUAGU
rnacentral:rRNA from 1 species